AUAAUCAUGACUGAAAGAUAAAGCACACAUAUAGUCUUGUAUGUAGCCUACUUGAUUAGCCUACUUCAUGUCGGUUCAGAAACUGCAGGAACACACAUGGACUUGGUGAAUAAUUCAGGGAUUAACAGUGACGUUUCAAUCCAACUACAGUCUGUUAAAUGUAGCUGCAAGCAGCGAUGACGGUCCCAAGCCCUGGUGGCACCGCCACCCCGGUGGCUUUAGGGCAACUGUACAUGAUGGGCAAUAUGCAUUUAAACCGGGUAAAUGUUUAAAAGACUAUUUUAAAAUCAUUUGAAUGUACCACAUUACUUUAAUCCCUUGCCUUGGCAACACCGUUUGAGAUAUCCAACAUCCAUUCGCAAUUUAACAUCUUCAAAGUCUUACCACCAAGUUACAAAUUUUUGCUGUGAAUUGUAUAAACCCUCUAGCAGUAGUAGUUCAAAAUUCAAAGUCUGAUUUUUCAGAACAUCCACUCGUAAUUUAGCAUUCUUAAUGUCUUGUCUUCAUGCUGACUGAGUUUGGAGGUGACUGGAUAAAUUCCCUAAGAGGAGUAAAUCAAAUUCCAGAGCAUGCAUUUUUCAAACAACCCUAAAUAGCCAACUUUCUGUUGGGCUGGUGUAUGACUUAGAGUGCCCAAUGAGAUCUGUAACUGUAUGAAGUUUGGUUACUGUAGGUGAAAAGGGGUGCGCUACAGAGGCCCUCAAAUACAACCAUAUAAAAGGGUGUGCCACAGAGCCCCCCCAACAACUUGUGCCCGGCCCUGAUGGCCGACGAUUUCUAUGUGUGUGCAACGUUUCAAAAGUUUUUGAGCAUGUUAAAGGGACCCAAAAGUGCCCAAAAGUUUGAAAAAAAAAAAAUUACCCUAGGAAAACACUUGGGCCCUAAUGAGUGACUGUCUUCAGGUAAAUGAUCUGGAGUGUGUUUGCAUAUUGAUCAGAUGCUUCAGUGCUCUGAGAGUGUUUAUAGUGCUGUGAGUUUAACACUUCAUCACUGACACACACAACAAUCUUCAUCAACAUGACCUUCAUCAUCAUCUUCAUCUGGACUCUCACAGCGUUUGCUCAAGAGUGUAGAGGACAGAUCACCGUCACUCAGAGUCCCUCAAUGACAGCAGCUCAACCAGGACAAACUGUGAACAUCAACUGUAAAACCAGCAGAGAUGUGUACAGUUAUUCCGGAACAUACUUUUUCAGCUGGUACUUACAGAAACCUGGAGAAGCUCCUAAACACUUGGUUCGUUUUGUAAGCAGCCGUCAGUCAGGAACUCCAUCUAGAUUCAGUGGCAGUGGAUCUAACAGUGAUUUCACUCUGACCAUCAGUGGAGUCCAGACUGAAGAUGCUGGACAUUAUUACUGUCAGAGUUACCACAGUGCCAAUGUGUUCACACAGUGAUAAAGAGUCGUACAAAAACCUCCGUCAGUCAGAGUCACAGUGACUGAACUGAUACUGCAGCUGCUCACACACUUUCACACACUACUGACACACAGAGGACAAACACAGGAACUACACAUGUGCUCAAAACUGACUUAUGACUGAAAUCAGCUCUAUUAGACUGUGAUCUGUCCUGUGACAGACGGGUUUGACACAAAUAUGCUCAAAAUGAGAGAAAACAAAGUGUGUAAAUUGAUAUGAAAUCAAACUAAUAAUAAUGGCACCAUAUGUUGUUUUGUUUUUGUACAUUAAACUACACUAAAGUCAUGGUGUAUCAGUAACAUAAAGAUGU